rnacentral:rRNA from 1 species
AUUGAACGCUGGCGGCACGCCUAACACAUGCAAGUCGAGCGGAGCGGCGGACGGGUGAGUAAGGCCUAGGAAUCAGCCUGGUAGUGGGGGAUAACGUCCGGAAACGGGCGCUACUACCGCCUACUAUCCGCUGAGUCUAGGUCGGAUUAGCUAGCUGGUAGGGUAAAGGCCUACCAAGGUGACGAUCCGUAAAUGGUCUGAGAGGAUUAUCAUUCACACUGGAACUGAGACACGGUCCAGACUCCUACGGGAGGCAGCAGGGGGGAAUAUUGGACAAUGGGCGAAAGGCUGAUGCAGCCAUGCCGCGUGUGUGAAGAAGGUCUUCGGAUUGUAAAGCACUUUAAGUUGGGAGGCGUUACCAACAGAAUAAGCACCGGCUAACUUCGUGCGAGCAGCCGCGGUAAUUC